CUGGCGGCAGGCCUAACACAUGCAAGUCGAGCGGUAGCACAGAGAGCUUGCUCUCGGGUGACGAGCGGCGGACGGGUGAGUAAUGUCUGGGAAACUGCCUGAUGGAGGGGGAUAACUACUGGAAACGGUAGCUAAUACCGCAUAACGUCGCAAGACCAAAGUGGGGGACCUUCGGGCCUCAUGCCAUCAGAUGUGCCCAGAUGGGAUUAGCUAGUAGGUGGGGUAACGGCUCACCUAGGCGACGAUCCCUAGCUGGUCUGAGAGGAUGACCAGCCACACUGGAACUGAGACACGGUCCAGACUCCUACGGGAGGCAGCAGUGGGGAAUAUUGCACAAUGGGCGCAAGCCUGAUGCAGCCAUGCCGCGUGUGUGAAGAAGGCCUUCGGGUUGUAAAGCACUUUCAGCGGGGAGGAAGGCGUUAAGGUUAAUAACCUUGGCGAUUGACGUUACCCGCAGAAGAAGCACCGACUAACUCCGUGCCAGCAGCCGCGGUAAUACGGAGGGUGCAAGCGUUAAUCGGAAUUACUGGGCGUAAAGCGCACGCAGGCGGUCUGUCAAGUCGGAUGUGAAAUCCCCGGGCUCAACCUGGGAACUGCAUUCGAAACUGGCAGGCUAGAGUCUUGUAGAGGGGGGUAGAAUUCCAGGUGUAGCGGUGAAAUGCGUAGAGAUCUGGAAGAAUACCGGUGGCGAAGGCGGCCCCCUGGACAAAGACUGACGCUCAGGUGCGAAAGCGUGGGGAGCAAACAGGAUUAGAUACCCUGGUAGUCCACGCCGUAAACGAUGUCGAUUUGGAGGUUGUGCCCUUGAGGCGUGGCUUCCGGAGCUAACGCGUUAAAUCGACCGCCUGGGGAGUACGGCCGCAAGGUUAAAACUCAAAUGAAUUGACGGGGGCCCGCACAAGCGGUGGAGCAUGUGGUUUAAUUCGAUGCAACGCGAAGAACCUUACCUGGUCUUGACAUCCACAGAACUUUCCAGAGAUGGAUUGGUGCCUUCGGGAACUGUGAGACAGGUGCUGCAUGGCUGUCGUCAGCUCGUGUUGUGAAAUGUUGGGUUAAGUCCCGCAACGAGCGCAACCCUUAUCCUUUGUUGCCAGCGGUUCGGCCGGGAACUCAAAGGAGACUGCCAGUGAUAAACUGGAGGAAGGUGGGGAUGACGUCAAGUCAUCAUGGCCCUUACGACCAGGGCUACACACGUGCUACAAUGGCAUAUACAAAGAGAAGCGACCUCGCGAGAGCAAGCGGACCUCAUAAAGUAUGUCGUAGUCCGGAUUGGAGUCUGCAACUCGACUCCAUGAAGUCGGAAUCGCUAGUAAUCGUAGAUCAGAAUGCUACGGUGAAUACGUUCCCGGGCCUUGUACACACCGCCCGUCACACCAUGGGAGUGGGUUGCAAAAGAAGUAGGUAGCUUAACCUUCGGGAGGGCGCUUACCACUUUGUGGUUCAAA
rnacentral:rRNA from 1 species